rnacentral:rRNA from 1 species
UACAGAGGUCCAGCAGUUGUUCGGUGAUUCAUUGGGCGUAAAGGGUGCGUAGGCGGCGCGGUAAGUCGGGUGUGAAAGUCUCGGAGCUUAACUCCGAAACUGCAUUCGAUACUGCCGUGCUUGAGGACUGGAGAGGAGACUGGAAUUACGGUGUAGCGGUGAAUGCGUAGAUAUCGUAAGGAAGACCAGUGGCGAAGGCGGGUCUCUGGACAGUUCCUGACGCUGAGGCACGAAGGCCAGGGGAGCAAACGG